rnacentral:misc_RNA from 1 species
GGUAGGAUCAUUAACACUUCUGUUGUUAAAACAAAAACCCCAAACGUGAACUUCUUUUGAACUGUAACAUCGUUGCAACAAAAAAAAAGCAGCCGUAAAGGUUUUUUUUUUUUUUUUUGUUGUAUCGUUAACUUUUUUUUUUUUUGACCCCAUUCUAAAACACUUCUUAAUAACUUAUACCAAUGACUGAUUUGGGAUAGGAUGAACAAUUGUUGUAUAUGAUUUCUUCAGUGAAUUCAUGCACAAUUACAUUGUACAUUAAUUUUAUUAAUCAUUUCAUUACAACUUUUGGCAGUGGAUAUCUUGGCUCUUGCAUCGAUGAAGAACGCAGCAAACUGCGAUAAUUAAUGCGAAUCGCAGAAACCUGUGAGUCAUCAAGAUUUUGAACGCACAUUGCGGUUUGGAGGGGCUUGCUCCUCUGGACCAUACCUGUUUGAGAAUUGGUUAUUCACUCUCAAACCCCAACCUUUGGGUUGGGAGUUUGGAUCUGAGAAGUUAAUGAGCUGAGUUUGUUCUCGGCACAUUCUUCUUGAAUAUCAUUCCAUUUGUUUGAAUUGUCACGAGCAGACAUUUAAUGAUGCAUCCGCUCCGCUGUGCGUAUAUUAAGUUAAUAUAUGCACGAUAUAGCGUCUCAUGUAUCAGUUUGAGCGUGCAACUCAGUUUUUUUUUAAUGACAUGAUGGAUCGAGCCGCGUUGUUCGGCUUCACAACAUAACCCCCAAACAUAAUCUCAAAUCAGGUAAGAAGACCCGCUGAACUGAAGCAUCUUAUUAAGCGGAGGAAAAGAAACUAACUAGGAUUCCCUUAGUAGCAGCGAGUGAACAGGGAAGAGCUCAAAGUUAAAAUCAGGCUUCGUAAGGGGCUUGAGUUGUACUGUUGAGAGGUAACUUGGUGGUUGAACAUCUGGUAUAAGUUCCCUUAGAAUGGACGUCAUAGAGGGUGAAAAUCCCGUCUUUGACCAGAUCGAUCAAUCACUAUGGGUUGCCAUCUUAGAGUCGGGUUGUUUGGGAGUACAGCCCAAAGUGGGUGGUAAGCUUCAUCUAAAGCUAAAUAUCUGCAAGAGACCGAUAGCAAACAAGUACCGCGAGGGAAAGAUGAAAAGCACUUUGAAAAGAGAGUGACAAUAGCACUUGAAGCUGCCAAAAGGACAAGCAAUUACGGCUGUUGUUGCGCUGGUUUAUCUCUCCAGAUAUGUGGAUCUACGUGUUCUAUGAGAGCCUCAAAACCUCAUUCUUCACGCUGAUGAAGCAUAUAGGAGGUAGAUGAACUGGGGCCGGUCAACGAUGAUUUUCGACUCGUCAUAAGAAGGAUGGAAGGUAGGAAUUCAAGUCGAGCUUCGGCUCUUCUUGAGUUCUGUUAUAGCCGCCUUCGGAAACGAACGUGAGAUCAUGACACUAACCCUUGAGGUUGGAAUCGUGAGCGCUGACAUGUAUCUACAGUUUGAUGCAAGCGGCUGAUCCCCUACUUGUAGGAGGUUGGUGCGGCUUGUAUCCUGUACGAUGCAUCUCAUGCUCGUGAUUAAUGUUGACAUCUGACGGCUUUAAUUGUCCCGUCUUGAAACACGGACCAAGGAGUCUAACAUAUGUGCGAGUGUUCGGGUGUAAAACCCAUGAACGCGUAAUGAAAGUAAAGGAUGGCAUUAGUCAUCUGAGGUAGGAAUCGCAAUGCCGCAAGGUGUUACGAGGCACUAUCGACCGAUCUGGAUUUUUGAAGGAUUCGAGUUAGAGCACAUCUGUUAGGACCCGAAAGACGGUGAACUAUGCCUGAAUAGGAUGAAGCCAGAGGAAACUCUGGUGGAAGUCCGAAGCGAUACUGACGUGCAAAUCGUUCGUCAAAUUUGGGUAUAGGGGCGAAAGACUAAUCGAACCGUCUAGUAGCUGGUUCCCUC